AUCGGUGUUGAUAGCAAGGAGGUUCCACCCGUUCCCAUUCCGAACACGGAAGUUAAGCUCCUUUACGCCUAAGAUACUUGGUCGGUGACGACCUGGGAAAAUUGGAAAAUGCCGAUA
rfam:Ruminococcus sp. CAG:254 genomic scaffold, scf2